rnacentral:rRNA from 1 species
UACAGAGGGGGCAAGCGUUGUUCGGAAUUACUGGGCGUAAAGGGCGCGUAGGCGGCCUGUUAAGUCGGACGUGAAAUCCCCGGGCUCAACCCGGGAACUGCGUCCGAUACUGGCAGGCUUGAAUUCGGGAGAGGGAUGUGGAAUUCCAGGUGUAGCGGUGAAAUGCGUAGAUAUCUGGAGGAACACCGGUGGCGAAGGCGGCAUCCUGGACCGAUAUUGACGCUGAUGCGCGAAAGCCAGGGGAGCAAACAGG